UACAGAGGGUGCGAGCGUUGUCCGGAAUCACUGGGCGUAAAGGGUGCGUAGGCGGGUCUUUUAAGUCAGGGGUGAAAUCCUGGAGCUCAACUCCAGAACUGCCUUUGAUACUGAGGAUCUUGAGUUCGGGAGAGGUGAGUGGAACUGCGAGUGUAGAGGUGAAAUUCGUAGAUAUUCGCAAGAACACUAGUGGCGAAGGCGGCUCACUGGCCCGAUACUGACGCUGAGGCACGAAAGCGUGGGGAGCAAACAGG
rnacentral:rRNA from 1 species